UACAGAGGAGCCAAGCGUUGUCCGGAUUGACUGGGCGUAAAGCGCACGCAGGCGGUGGUGCGCGUGGGGUGUGAAAUCUGGCCGCUUAACGGCCAGGCGCCAUCCCAUACGGCACGACUGGAGGGCUGCAGAGGUCGAUGGAAUUGCCGGUAUAGUGGUGAAAUGCGCAGAUAUCAGGAAGAACACCCAUGGCGAAAGCAGCUCUCUGGGACGGUACUGACGCUGAGACGCGAAAGCGUGGGGAGCGAACAGG
rnacentral:rRNA from 1 species